CACGUAGGAGCCAAGCGUUAUCCGAAUUCACUGGGCGUAAAGCGCGUGUAGGCGGCUUAUUAAGUUGGAUGUGAAAGCUCCCGGCUCAACUGGGAGAGGACGUUCAAAACUGGUGGGCUAGAGGGCGACAGAGGGAGGUGGAAUUCCCGGUGUAGUGGUGAAAUGCGUAGAUAUCGGGAGGAACACCAGUGGCGAAGGCGGCCUCCUGGGUCGCACCUGACGCUCAGACGCGAAAGCUAGGGUAGCGAACGGGAUUAGAAACC
rnacentral:rRNA from 1 species